GCGCGCCCGGCAGGAAAGGGCGGUCCUGCGCUGUGGCCCACGCUCGCUCCCGCUGUCGGACUCUGGGCCUGGACCGCGCGUGGCCGGCGCCAAAAGCGAGAGGCAUGAGCGCGCGCCCGGGCCAGUGAACUGCUCGGGGAUGGACUGCGGCUCGGUCGGCGGCCAGAGGACCCAGCGCCUGCCCGGCCGCCAGCGGCUUCUCUUCUUGCCCGUGGGCCUCAGCGGAAGACCGGGCGGCAGCGAAACCUCAGCACGCCGCUGCCUCUCUGCGCUCUCCGACGGUCUGGGGGCGCUGCGCCCUCGCGCCCCGGCGGCCCGCGGCGGCGUGUCACGUGCCUCACCGCUGCUCCUCCUCCUGCUAGUGCCCUCCCCGCGCUUGGCCGCCGCAGCCCCGCGCCGGCAGCUCGGGGACUGGGAGCGCUCGCGCCUCGGGUAUGCCGCACCCCCGGCCGGGCGCAGCAGCGCGUGGAGGUGCUCACCGGGCGUCGCCGCUGCCGCCGGCGCCCUUCCCCAGUACCACGGCCCGGCGCCUGCACUCGUUUCCUGCAGGAGAGAGCUAAGCUUGUCUGCUGGAUCCCUGCAGCUGGAGCGCAAAAGGAGAGAUUUCACCUCUUCUGGGAGCAGGAAACUCUACUUCGACACUCAUGCCUUAGUGUGCUUACUGGAAGACAAUGAAUCUCACUCUUUCAUCCAGGCUGGAGUGCAGUGGCACAGUCUUGGCCUACUGCAACCCCCACCUCCCGGUUUCAAGCGAUCCUCCCACCUCAUCCUCCUGAGUAGCUGGGAUUACAGGCAUGCACCACCACACCUGGAUAAUUUUUCUGUAUUUUUACUAGAGACGGGGUUUCACCAUGUUGGCCAGGCUGGUCUCAAACUGCUGACCUCAAGUGAUCCACCCACCUUGGCCUCCUAAAGUGCUGGGAUUACAGGCGUGAACCACUGUGUCCAGUUGCCAAACCUAAUUAUGUUUAAACAUGAACUCUUUUUUUAAUUAAAAUUUUUUAAAAUUUUAUUUACAUUAAAAUGGAGAUGGGAUCACUAUGUUGCCCAUGCUGGUUCUGAACUCCUGGGCUCAAAGAUCCUCCCGCCUUGGUCUCCCAGAGUGUUAGGAUUACAGGCGUGAGCCACCACACCCAGCCAGUGAACUCUUCUUAAUAAAACUUUAAAAUUUGGCAAAAGUUUAGUUUGAGUUUUUAAAAACUAGGAAGACAGACGAGAAAAAAGAAAACAGAGUCAGAGCUAAACAAUGUUAACAUUUUGGGUUUGCUACUCAACAAGCAGAAAUCAUUGUGUCUGCAUUGGUCAAGAUCCUGGAGGCCAACAUGGACAUCGUCUACAAAGAUAUGGUCACCAAGAUGCAGCAGGAAAUCACUUUUCAGCAAGUAAUGUCUCAGAUUGCGAAUGUGAAAAAGGAUAUGAUUAUUUUGGAGAAGAGUGAAUUUUCAGCCCUCAGAGCAGAAAAUGAGAAAAUAAAACUCGAACUACAUCAGUUAAAACAACAAGUAAUGGAUGAAGUGAUCAAAGUCCGAACAGAUACCAAAUUAGACUUCAACCUAGAAAAGAGCAGAGUAAAAGAAUUGUAUUCAUUGAACGAAAAGAAGCUGCUGGAAUUGAGAACAGAAAUAGUGGCAUUGCAUGCCCAGCAAGAUCGGGCCCUUACCCAGACAGACAGGAAGAUCGAAACUGAGGUUGCUGGCCUCAAAACCAUGCUUGAGUCACACAAGCUUGAUAAUAUUAAAUAUUUAGCAGGGUCUAUAUUUACGUGCCUAACAGUAGCUCUGGGAUUUUAUCGCCUGUGGAUCUAAUAAAGUGUCUAUUUAAAGUGA
rnacentral:lncRNA from 1 species